rnacentral:misc_RNA from 1 species
UUUCCGUAGGUGAACCUGCGGAAGGAUCAUUAUCGUGGGGCUCCGGCCCCGUCGAGAUAGAACCCUUGCCUUUUCGAGUACCGUCCGUUUCCUCGGCAGGCCCGCCUGCCAACGGGGACCCCAAACAAACUCUUUUAUGUACCUGUACCCGUCUGAACAACAAACAAAAGUUAAAACUUUCAACAACGGAUCUCUUGGUUCUG